CUUCAGAUUUUGCUAGCGAAAUAUAGCAGUUUCUGCUGUUGCUGAGCUGGAGUGCUGGACCGCUGUCGAUUACAAUCUGUCUGAACAGAACUCUGAUGACCGGUUCGACAUCCUGAUCCGCGUUACCGAUCCCCGGGGACAGAAACGCUUCACAAUGAAGCGCUCCACACUGCUGAUCGCUCUGAGUGCAUGCAGUGUAGCAGGGAUGUUUGUGAAUUUGAGUGUGUCACAAAAUGGUAAUACCUUGCUAUCCAAGACUGAUGUGAUAGAUUAUUUUGCUGAUAAUACAGGCCUGAAGACUGAAGAUGGUUUGCCUUCAUGGUUACAGCCAGCAGUAAUUGUAUCAUUAGUCCUCAAUAUGGUUGUCAUUUUUCUUUUUGUUCACCAUUUCUGCAGAAGACGAGGUGAUGCACAGGGUUACGCACGUGUCGUAUCAGUUACAGGGCAUGAAGAAGAGGGGAGAGAGGUUGGUGUUUCAGCUUCUCUAGAGAGAAGACUAGCAGUAAUUGGAGAACAAAUCACACAGCUGCAUGAUGACAACAGUAAGUACUGUACUAUUUGCAGAAAUGUAGUAGCCUUAACGGGAUAAAAUAUGUAACCCGAUAAAUGAAUAGCCAACAUCUGAAUGAGAAAUUGUACAGUAUUAGCUGUUAGUUUACUUAAAUCUGUCUUUUCGGUUUGUAAGUGUAAUAAUCAGGAAUUAUAGAGGUACAGUAUGUGGAGUUAAGUGAUGGGUCAGAAAUAUUUCACAAAUCUAAACCUAAAUUGCUGGACAUUGGUCCCUUUGUUUGUUUCUAUAUGCAUAUGAGAAUAGAUGGAUAUGUUCAUUAUUGUUCUUGGUACCCUGGGACCUUGAGCAGAAAUAUAUUCAACUUUCUGUUUCUAUCAGUGGACCUGAAGCCUUAAGUUCUGGCCAGAGGUAUUGUUUCUUUGUUGAUGUGAAUAGAUCUUAUACACCUUAUUGUAUUCUUUUU
rnacentral:lncRNA from 1 species